AGAGUUCGAUUCUGGCUCAGGACGAACGCUGGCGGCGUGCUUAACACAUGCAAGUCGAACGAGAAUCUGCUGAAGGAGGAUUCGUCCAACGGAAGUAGAGGAAAGUGGCGGACGGGUGAGUAACGCGUGAGGAACCUGCCUUGAAGAGGGGGACAACAGUUGGAAACGACUGCUAAUACCGCAUGACGCAUAGGGGUCGCAUGAUCUUUAUGCCAAAGAUUUAUCGCUUCAAGAUGGCCUCGCGUCUGAUUAGCUGGUUGGCGGGGUAACGGCCCACCAAGGCGACGAUCAGUAGCCGGACUGAGAGGUUGAACGGCCACAUUGGGACUGAGAUACGGCCCAG
rnacentral:rRNA from 1 species